UCUCAACCAGUGAGUCCCCAGGUGUUUUGGCCUACAACUCCCAGAAAUCCCAGCCUGUCAGGAUUUCUGGGAGUUGAAGGCCAAAACAUCUAGGGACCCACAGGUUGAGAACCACUGCUUUAGGCAGUUAAAAGAAACUUGGUUAAUGUUUGAGUUAAACACAGCAUGACAGCAACAUGUACUUUGGAUGAUCUGGAAAAUAAUCCCUGCUUUAUACAACCUUGCAGCAAAAUAAUAGGGAUAAUGAAAACGAUCCCAACAAUAGAAAGCUAGAUGAGAUCUGUGUUGAUCCCUUCAUCACUACUGGAAUAUGUGAAAGGCUAAGAGGUGUAUUUUUUAACAUUAAAAGCAAGAUUACAUACAUUUGUCUGUAAAUGAAGUUAAUUGGGAAAUGGUGAUCUUUAUGUAAUAUAGAUUCCAUUAUUUAGAGUGGAAUUUUCUUUUAAAUAACUGUUGGCCCUGGGUCCCUCCAAAGUUGAAGUACAGUUAUGGUGAUAUAAAAUGCUUUGCUGUGUAAAUAUUAGUCUUGUCCACAGAUUCAGAUUGAUUGGUUCUCUUUGGCCAAUCCGGCUUGGUCGGAUGGCCAUAAUGGUAAGGACGCAGCCAUCACAUUUUUUCAUCCAUUACAGGACCACGUGGCAGCCGAUCACAGCUCCUCCUUCCUUAUUCGGGGAGGCAUACACAAACACACAGAUCUGCAAUGGCCUUAACAAAACACAUUUUGAGUUGCAUUAUAUUGCUUUUUCUAACAAAGAAAAAGAAGGCAGCAAUAUCCUGGAGAAAGAAAGGAGAGAGAAAGUGAGAAAAUCACAAUGGGAUAAUUCAGUUGGUGUGUAGCCUACUAUCAAUAUGACAAUACUAUUACUGUAUAUGCAUGUAUUUGACUAAGUUUCUGUGUAUGUGUGUGUUAAGGGGAAAACACCUGGUCAAUUACAAUUCAUAGUUGGGUAAUUGGAGCAAUCAAGAAGAACAAGCUUGAACCACUCCCUGAAUGGGGUAUACUUGGGGGAAUGUUUGUAAUGUUUUUGGGACUUACCGAAUCCUGGCUGAGAACCUACUAUGCUUGUCUCCUUGCACCAUUGAAGAAAUCUCCAAGAAGAUGCAUGAAUUUAAUGCAAAGAACUUUAUGUGAGUUUUGUUGCUUCAAAGGGAGUGAGUUAUUUUGUAGCUGGAGGUUCUGAGUUUUUGAAGCUGCUUGUUUAAUUUUCUCCUUGACUCUGCUACUUAAGAGUAAAUUUUGAUUUUUCCAUUUUCCUGGAUUGUUUCUUUUGCUCAUUGUGGAUGCACAAAGGGGCUGGAUAAGCCUGACAAGACUUGCACGCAGUUUGUUUUUCAACAAACCCGUAAAAAAUACCCCCACAGGGGAAGGAUAAACUUUCUCAAUUUUCCUCACUAUUCAAUCUGGGUACAGAAAACAUAUGGGGAGUUGGGGGUCCAUCUUUAUUUUCCUGGUAAUCAGUGGUGUGGAGUGGGGAUGCAUUCCAGCUACUCUUGGCCACCCAGAGAUAAAGGAGGACUUUGAGAUAUCAAUGAAGGUGUUCCUUUACUCCUGGGAAAUCAAAAGUAACCAUGUUAGCUUACCUGGGGUUUCCAUUUCUUAAAUACCCUAUAGCAGGCAUGGGCAAACCAAGGCCCAGGGGCCAGAUGUGGCCCUCUGGGUGCUUGCCUCAGGCCCUCCUCAUUUUCCCUGCAU
ensembl:lncRNA